AGAUGAGCAUGCGUCCCAUUAGCUAGUUGGUAAGGUAACGGCUUACCAAGGCAACGAUGGGUAGGGGUCCUGAGAGGGAGAUCCCCCACACUGGUACUGAGACACGGACCAGACUCCUACGGGAGGCAGCAGUGAGGAAUAUUGGUCAAUGGGCGCAAGCCUGAACCAGCCAUGCCGCGUGCAGGAUGACGGUCCUAUGGAUUGUAAACUGCUUUUGCACAGGAAGAAACACUCGGUCGUGACCGAGCUUGACGGUACUGUGAGAAUAAGGAUCGGCUAACUCCGUGCCAGCAGCCGCGGUAAUACGGAGGAUCCAAGCGUUAUCCGGAAUCAUUGGGUUUAAAGGGUCCGUAGGUGGCCAGAUAAGUCAGUGGUGAAAGCCCAUCGCUCAACGAUGGAACGGCCAUUGAUACUGUUUGGCUUGAAUUAUUUGGAAGUAACUAGAAUAUGUAGUGUAGCGGUGAAAUGCUUAGAGAUUACAUGGAAUACCAAUUGCGAAGGCAGGUUACUACAAAUUGAUUGACGCUGAUGGACGAAAGCGUGGGUAGCGAACAGGAUUAGAUACCCUGGUAGUCCACGCCGUAAACGAUGGAUACUAGCUGUUGGGAGCAAUCUCAGUGGCUAAGCGAAAGUGAUAAGUAUCCCACCUGGGGAGUACGUUCGCAAGAAUGAAACUCAAAGGAAUUGACGGGGGCCCGCACAAGCGGUGGAGCAUGUGGUUUAAUUCGAUGAUACGCGAGGAACCUUACCAAGGCUUAAAUGUAGAUUGACCGGUUUGGAAACAGACUUUUCGCAAGACAAUUUACAAGGUGCUGCAUGGUUGUCGUCAGCUCGUGCCGUGAGGUGUCAGGUUAAGUCCUAUAACGAGCGCAACCCCUGUUGUUAGUUGCCAGCGAGUCAUGUCGGGAACUCUAGCAAGACUGCCAGUGUAAACUGUGAGGAAGGUGGGGAUGACGUCAAAUCAUCACGGCCCUUACGCCUUGGGCUACACACGUGCUACAAUGGCCGGUACAGAGAGCAGCCACU
rnacentral:rRNA from 1 species